CCACAACCCAUUGUUCAAGAGGACUAGACUGGGAAACACAAGCAAAAGAAUUAGCAGCAACAAAAGUAUCAGUCUGAGCAACAGAGGCUACUUGUGAUGUUUGCUUACUUGCUCGAUAUUUAAGGAACUCAUUAUACUCUCCUUCAGAUACAAAAAUCCCUGGUUACCUAUAGUCUCGGUCUGAGCAACAUACGCAUUUUUUUGUGGUCGACCAUGUAAAGAAUAGCACACGUCACGAGUGUGACCAAGUUUAUGACAAUAAGAAC
rnacentral:lncRNA from 1 species